CCGCCCCGGGAGGCACGCAGACUCAUCCCAGCUUGCGGCACACACGCUCCGUCUGCCGAGCUGACACCGACGGCGCCCGGGGCACAGCGGCCAAUGCUGUCCAUGAUAUAUUGAAUAGUCCUCAUAGAGAAAGUACGAGGUAGACAAUGUUUACAGAAACAAUAUAAGUAGAAGUGAAAAUUGAAGAAAAGGAAUAUUGAACUUCUAGCAAUUUUGACUGCAUCUAUAUACUAAUCAAAACUCU